rnacentral:rRNA from 1 species
UACGUAGGGUGCAAGCGUUAAUCGGAAUUACUGGGCGUAAAGCGUGCGCAGGCGGUUUUGUAAGUCUGUCGUGAAAGCCCCGGGCUCAACCUGGGAAUUGCGAUGGAGACUGCAAGGCUUGAAUCUGGCAGAGGGGGGUAGAAUUCCACGUGUAGCAGUGAAAUGCGUAGAGAUGUGGAGGAACACCGAUGGCGAAGGCAGCCCCUCGGUCGCAAGCAUGACGCUCAUGCACGAAAGCGUGGGGAGCAAACAGG